ACCCGCUGGAUUUAAGCAUAUCAGUAAGCGGAGGAAAAGAAAAUAACAAUGAUUACCUCAGUAGCGGCGAGUGAAGAGGUAAAAGCCCAAGAUGUUAAUCUGUGUUAAAGACAUAGAAUUGUAAUCUAUGGAAUCAAUCAGAAAGCGGAAGCCUGCCAUAAGUCCCUUGGAACAGGGCGCCAGAGAGGGUGAAAGCCCCGUCUUCGGGUAGGAAGAAGCAAUAUGAAAGAUUUCUAAGAGUCGGGUAGUUUGGGAAUGCUGCCCUAAGCGGGAGAUAAACUUCUCCUAAGGCUAAAUAUUUAUAGGAGACCGAUAGCAUACAAGUACUGCGAAGGAAAGAUGAAAAGAACUUUGAAAAGAGGGUUAAAAGACUUGAAAUCGUUGAAAAGGAAGCGAUAAAAGAGAAAUUAGUUGCUUGUGAAUAAGGUUUUAGGCUAAGUUGUGUGGUGUGUAGUACUUAACAGGGCUGCUGCUAUUCAAUGAAAACUAACUCACUUUUUACAGGUAAUAGGCAAAAUGAGAUUGGACUGCAAAAAUAAGGUGAAGAGUCUACUCUCUAGCUAAAAUUUGUAGACCAGUCUGAGGGAUCUUAGGAUGAUUUUGUCAAAAUGGCUUUUAUCGACCCGUCUUGAAACACGGACCAAGGAGUCUACCUAUUAUGCGAGUGUUGGGGUGGAAAAACCCAAACGCAAACCGAAAGGGAUUUAAGAUGUGAGGCGCAAGCUACAACAUCAACCAAUCAUGAUUCUCUGAAGAAUGACUUGAGUAAGAGCAUAAUCGGUAGGACCCGAAAGAUGGUGAACUACGGUUGAGUAGGGUGAAGCCAGGGGAAACUCUGGUGGAGGCUCGAAGCGUUACUGACGUGCAAAUCGUUCGUUAAACUUGACUGUAGGGGCGAAAGACUAAUCGAACCAUCUAGUAGCUGGUUCCCUCUGAAAUUUCUCUCAGGAUAGCAGGAACAGAUAUAGCAGUUUUAUCAGGUAAAGCUAAUGAUUAGUGGAAUCGGGGGUCUUCGACCUUUGACCAAUUCUCAAACUUUAAAUUGGUAAGAACCAGAAGUUAUCUUAAUUGAACUUUUGGGUAGAAUGCAUUGUUCUUAGUGGGCCAUUUUUGGUAAGCAGAACUGGCGAUGAGGGAUGAACCUAACGUUGAGAUAAGGUGCCCAAAUUCACGCUCAUCAGACACCAGAAAAGGUGUUGGUUAGUUUAAACAGCCGGACUGUGGCCAUGGAAGUCGGCACCAGCUAAGGAGUGUGUAACAACUCACCAGCCGAAUUAACCAGCCCUGAAAAUUGAUGGCGCUAAGCGUGAUACCGAUACUCAACCAUCAAGGUAAAGAAAAACUUUGAUGAGUAAGAGGGCGUGAAGACUGUGUAGAAGGCUUGGACGUGAGUCUGGCUGGAACAGUCUUUAGUGCAGAUCUUGGUGGUAGUAGCAAAUAUUCAAAUGAGAACUUUGAAGACCGAAGUGGAGAAGGGUUCCAUGAGAACAGCAUUUGUUCAUGGGUUACUCGAUCCUAAGACAUAGGGAAAUUCCUUGUAAUACAUUUGUUCUUACGAACAUGUAGUCAAAAGGGAAUGAGGUUCAUAUUCCUCAAGCUGGAUGUGGGAGCUAUGUGGCAACACAAACAAGCUCGGAGACAUCGGUAUGUGCAACUGGAAGAGUUCUCUUUUCUUCUUAACAGUCUAUCUCCCUGAAUGGUUUACCCAGAGCUAGGGAUAUAUGGCUGGCAGAGCAGUUCUCCAUUGAAUUGUCAGUGAAGCUCAUAACGAUCCUUGAAAAUCCGAGUAAGAUUAUCUCAUCACACCAGGCCGUACCCAUAACCGCAUCAGGUCUCCAAGGUU
rnacentral:rRNA from 1 species